ACGGCGGCUCCGCAGGGACAAAAAGUGUCGGAGCACGGCCGCGAAUCCCCGUGCGUGCCGGAAGGCUCCCCUCUGCCGCCCCGCCGUGCAGUGCAAGGGACUCAUCCGCAGGAGCCGUUUCUCGGGAAUCACGCGAGCGCUGACAUCUGCACGGAGCCCUGCGCUACAGCACAGCGGUGUCCUCAGAGCUCCUCAUGCCCCUCCUACCCUCUUGCUAACAGGACAGUAGAAGAUGAAAAAACUGACGUCCUUGGCUCUGUACAGCAUUGUUCAGCAACACCUAAAACACUGAGGCUCAUUCUGCACAGCCUGAGGUGCCCUGACAAGCAAGAAAGGCAGCAAAGCCCUCACCCAGCGAGGCUAUGCACUCAUACGUCUCCAGCAUCACGUCCCGGUAGAGCGCUCGCUGCGCAGGGUCCAGCAGCGCCCACUCCUCCCUGCUGAAAUACACGGCCACCUCCGCAAAGCUCACGGGCUCCUGCAAGCAAACAGCUCCUUGCUGCGACCACCUGGGGCCUGGGGAAGCAGCUUGUUGAGAAGAGAAACCCCAGCCCCAGCAACUUCUCAAACAGCAGCACACAAAUGCUGCACAAGAGCAUCCCAUUCUCCCGCUGCAGUCACAUCCCUUGCACCUCUGCCUCGCUGGCUGCUUCCCCAAGCCCCUACCUGGGAUGGAUGCGCUGUGGCCAUUUGCUGCCCUCCUGCAGGCUGGCACGAUCGCAAGUGAAAGGCAGGGAGCCUCCUGGGACAAGAGGAACAGUAGGGCAGUUCUGAGGGAAUGCAGCAGUCCCCAUCCAACCCAGCCCUCC